rnacentral:rRNA from 1 species
UCGAGUGCUCCAGAAGUGGCUGCGCUAACCCGCAAGGAGGCAGGUCCCCAAGGAGUGCUUGGUAACCGGGGUGAAGUCGUAACAAGGUAGCCGUAGGUGAACCUGCAGAAGGAUCA